rnacentral:rRNA from 1 species
AUUGAACGCUGGCGGCAUGCCUUACACAUGCAAGUCGAACGGUAACAGGUCUUCGGAUGCUGACGAGUGGCGAACGGGUGAGUAAUACAUCGGAACGUGCCCGAUCGCUGGGGCUAACGAAGCGAAAGCUUUGCUAAUACCGCAUAAUAUCUACGGAUGAAAGCAGGGGACCGCAAGGCCUUGCGCGAACGGAGCGGCCGAUGGCAGCUUAGGUAGUUGGUGGGAUAAAAGCUUACCAAGCCGACGAUCUGUAGCUGGUCUGAGAGGACGACCAGCCACACUGGGACUGAGAAACGGCCCAGACUCCUACGGGGGGCAGCAGUGGGGAAUUUUGGACAAUGGGCGAAAGCCUGAUCCAGCCAUGCCGCGUGCAGGAUGAAGGCCUUCGGGUUGUAAACUGCUUUUGUACGGAACGAAAAGACUCUUUCUAAUAAAGAGGGUCCAUGACGGUACCGUAAGAAUAAGCACCGGCUAACUACGUGCCAGCAGCCGCCGUAA